rnacentral:misc_RNA from 1 species
UGCGGCAGGCCUGUCAGC